GCGACGCCGCGUGAAUGAUGAAGUCCUUCGGGAUGUAAAGUUCUGUCAGCAGGGAAAAUGAUGAUGGUACCUGCAGAGGAAGGCCCGGCAAACUAUGUGCCAGCAGCCGCGGUAAUACAUAGGGGCCAAGCGUUGUCCGGAUUUACUGGGCGUAAAGGGCUCGUAGGCUGUAAGCUAAGUCAGAAUUAAAAGGCAGGAGCUUAACUCCUGUUCGGUUCUGAGACUGGCCUGCUAGAGAUUGGGAGAGGAAGAUGGAAUUAACAGUGUAGCGGUGAAAUGCGUAGAUAUUGUUAAGAACACCCGUGGCGAAGGCGGUCCUCUGGCCCAAAUCUGACGCUGAGGAGCGAAAGCGUGGGGAGCAAACAGGAUUAGAUACCCUGGUAGUCCACGCUGUAAACGAUGUACAUUAGGUAUGGGAGGUAUCGACCCCUUCUGUGCCGCAGCUAACGCGUUAAAUGUACCGCCUGGGGAGUACGAUCGCAAGAUUAAAACUCAAAGGAAUUGACGGGGGCCCGCACAAGCAGUGGAUCAUGUGGUUUAAUUCGACGAUACCCGAAGAACCUUACCAGAACUUGACAUCCAGAGAAUCCGCCAGAAGUGGCGGGGUGCCCGCAAGGGAGCUCUGAGACAGGUGGUGCAUGGUUGUCGUCAGCUCGUGUCGUGAGAUGUUAGGUUAAGUCCUGCAACGAGCGCAACCCUCGUCCUGUGUUACUACAUUUAGUUGAGGACUCUCAGGAGACUGCCCGUGGUAAACGGGAGGAAGGUGGGGAUGACGUCAAAUCAUCAUGCCCUUUAUGUUCUGGGCUACACACAUGAUACAAUGGUCGGUACAAAGGGAUGCCAACCCGCAAGGGGGAGCCAAUCUCAAAAAACCGGCCUCAGUUCAGAUUGUAGGCUGCAACCCGCCUGCAUGAAGAUGGAAUUGCUAGUAAACGCAGAUCAGCAUGCUGCGUUGAAUACGUUCCCGGGCCUUGUACACACCGCCCGUCACACCAUGAAAGCCGGAAAUAUCCGAAGUCAGCGAGCUAACCGCAAGGAGGCAGCUGCCUAAGAUAGAGUCGGUGAUUGGGGUGAAGUCGUAACAAGGUAGCCGUACCGGAAGGUG
rnacentral:rRNA from 1 species